rnacentral:tRNA from 2 species
GUCCCCAUCGUCUAGAGGCCUAGGACAUCACCCUUUCACGGUGAGUACGCGGGUUCGAAUCCCGCUGGGGACGCCA